rnacentral:lncRNA from 1 species
UAAUCUAAUCUAAUUUAAAAGACGAUGAACUAAAUUGGUUUAAUCUGAUCAACAUAACAUCAGGCUUGUUCUGCAUCAUGGUGCUUUAACAUAAUUUAUUUAUUAAUAUAAUAUCUUAAAUAGGGCUCUUUUAAAGAAGCUUGCUAUCUAUCAGCCAUUGUAUUAAAUUUUUCAGCUGUAUUGUCCUGUGAAGUCAUGUGAAGACUUAAAACUGUCAUGGUUGUUCUGCCUAGAUUACGUUUUUCCUUAAUGUAUUCUUGUGUUUCGGAAGUUGUAGAUAGAUGUCUACUAUUUUCAGAUUGACAAUACCAUGGCCACCAAUCUUUCAGGGGCACUUUUGUUCUUUGCCCUGCUUGGGUUUUCUGGAUGCUUUAUAACUUGCUAUGAUCGAAGAGUGCGGAAUGAUUUGGCUCAGCCUUGUCGAGAAUUAUGUCUCUGUUGCUGCCACCCAGGGUACAAACUAAGCCAACUUUUUGUUUAUCUUCGGUUUGAUUAUUGAUCCAAAAUUAACAUGGUUUUCUUCUUAAGCACCUCUAUAGAAAGCUAUAGGGCCUGUUUGUCCCAGCUGGAGGCUUCUGAAGAAGUACUGUUUUGAGUAGAUUUGUUCGAAGAGCCACACUAAUAUUCAUUGCAGUAGCCAACAGUUUCCUGUUGUAACAAAAGCAGGAGCUCCAUUUUGGAGAUUCUGACUUUGGGGCCUAGAAGUUCAUUUUUAUUUGCUAACCACGUAUUUUCUACUUUUUGAAGUAGAGAAAUUCUCUAGAAGCAUGAGCCAAGUGUUUGGCAAAAAAAAAAAGUAAAAAGUUAAGAACUUUUGCUAUGAUAGGAAGUUGAAAUGAGCUUCUAAGUCCUAAGAUCAGAAACUCUAAUUAGAAGCACUUGCUUGGAGGGUAUUGGGUGUUCUGUAACGAAAAAUUGUUAUUUGCUUCAUAAAACAGCUCCAACAGGGGCAAACAGGCCGUUGCACUAAAACACAGCUGUAGUAGAAUCAAUAAGUACCCCUUCAUUUUGUUAUUUUGUCAUGGGUAAAAACAUACAGAACUACCAUGACCUAUAGCACAUAUUGAGAUGGGUAUGUAAAUUUGGAAAUUUUAUUUUAGCACCAACCUUUCAUUACUUUGAUUUUCAUAAGAUUUUUAUCAAGUCUAAUUAGAAAUUAACGGUUUCCAUCAAAAAAGGUACAGGAUAUUCUGCCAACCAGGCAUCAAAUGACAGGUUACACAAUAUUCUGUUAGAAAGGUUAUACAUAACAUUAACUUUUGACAAAGAGGUUGGUUUGUAAAACAAAAAUGCAUAACGUUCAGAUACCCAUUUGAAUAUGUGCUAUGUAGUUCAGUGAAGGACAAUCUGCUUGUACCUAAUCUGAAUACUGAAUGACUUUCUUUGUAUUGUUUUAGAAUGUGUGCAGAUUGCCAUCUACCCGGCACGCUCUGCAUGUGGACUGACUGCACUGCAUGCUUCGAGGGUUGUGCGGGCACCGCAGGCGAAUGCGGUGGUUGCUUAAGUGGGGCCGGGGAGGCUGGCCUGCCCCUGCUGCUUAUAAUUGGAAUAAUUGUGCUUGGGUUAUUCACAGUUAUCGGUAUAUUUUAUAGCGUUCUCGUGGCAACAAUGGUCGGCCAGCGGAUCUGGCAGCGGCAUUAUCAUAUACUUGCUAAAAGGAUGCUAACGAAAGUAAGCUUGAGCUUUUAUUGUAAAUUAAAGUAAAUAAUGUAUAGAUCUUAACAGCAUUGCAUCUUAUUUUGAUAUGGGUACUUGGAACUUCAAAAUUUUUGAUUUCACUACCUAAAACACCAGUUUCUGUAAUGGAUGUCUGCUAUUAUUUUUUAUUUUUUGUUUGCUGAGAGACCAAACCUAAUACUCUACCUGUAUUUAGCUAGUCUGUAUUUUUAAAUAAUUUAUUCAUGUAAAUUGUAAUGCUGUCCCCUUGACUCCUUCCAAGGUUUCACUUUAUUUUACCGGUCUUUAAACUGAAGCAUUUGACUCCAACUAGUUUAAAUGUAAUUGUUUCAUUAUAGUCCUCAUUAAUUCUUACUAUUGCCGCGACUAAAAUGUUAAAGUGUGUACUCUUACUGUACACUUGACAUUCACUUCAAUCUUCAAUAUCUCUUGAAAUCGGGUGAGGAGUCUUAAGCAUUGAUUUUCUAUUCAAAUAACAAAAGGUACUCAUCUUGUGAGAACACGAACUUUGCUACCAAUUACAGAAUACAUGAUAGACAUGCUUUAAAUUUAAAGAUUUGAGACUAAAGCAAAACUAAUUAGAGGAUUGCAGGGACAAUGUUUACCCUAAAUUAUCAAAGUUAUAAUCGUUGUUUUAGAUGUAUCCACACAUUUUAACUAGUGGCAUUGAAAUGUUGUACAUUAUACAGGAGUAUGUAGUUGAGGAUGUUGACGGCGAGGGAACAAAUUGGUGCCCACCGCCACUUCCCCCGGAGCAUGUUCAUCAGCUUAGGGCUCUCGGACUGUUGUAACCCCUAUUCUGAUAAACUCAUUGCACUUAAUUCCGAGCUUCGCAAACUGUACUUUGAAUUCUGUGUUCGUAAAUACAUUGUACACAACGAUGAUACCAUUGUAAGAGUUCUACUGGAGGAACAGUGUAUUGUGAAAUGAGCACCUUACCGUUGUGAGUGUAUUCUGAUAAACUCAUUGCACUUAAUUCUGAGCUUUGCAAAAUGUAAUUUGAAUACUGUGUUCAUAAAUAAUACCUUGUACACCGCAAUGAUACCAUUGUAAGAGUUCUAUUUGAGGAGCAUUGUAUUGUGAAAUGAGCACCUUACCUUGGAAAUUUCGAUAAGUCUCAAAAGUUUCCAUAAUUUUGAGUUUAAACUUGGACUUUGCUGUGAAAUCUUUUUAAAUUGUUAUUAGCGCUAUGCGCAAUCUCUUGGACUAUGCUCGUGUUGUGAAAUGUUGCAUCAGUUUUAUUGUUGUUCUCUUCUUUUGCUGUUUUGGUUUCUAUGCUUUUUGGCUGUGGGGAAGAGUAAUUAUUUGUGCAUGAAGCACCGAUGAAACGCAAGCCGCAUGUAGAAGGAAAAGUAAUAUAUAUAUAUUUUUUGAGAUGUCCGUAGGUCAUGCAUACGCAUAUAUUGUGUUUGAAGCAUAUGAUGAUCGUGUUUGGAUUAGGAUAACCUUGUUUGGAUUGAGUUAUCCAUGAUGGUGCUUGUUGUGCCCAUUACUGAAGUGGUUGCAAUAUCAGUAACUAGUUUUCUAUAUUCUAUCAAAUGGUUCAAUUGGUCCUUCUGAGAAAAAUAAAUAAAUAAAUAAAUAAAUAAAUAAAUAAACUUCCUCUCUUCUCCUGGAUGAAAAUUCAGUACUAGGAUUAGAAACUAGCUGGAUUCAUGUACAAUUUUUAUUGCUUUUUUCUAAAAAAUUUAAAGCGGAAAAUGUAGAUUUCGUUGUGUUUAAACUUUAAAGCUUCAUACGAUUACGUGCUUGACAUUCAUUCAAAAUGACUAUUUAAUCAGUAAAUUUGCUUGAGAAGAGAAAAAAUUUUAACUUUUUAAUAAAAUUUAGAAGAUUUAAUCGUCGAAACUAAAAGUUUAGCGAGUUUGUUGUCGAAGCUCUCAUAUUAGGGCAUGUUUGGUUUACGAUUGGAAUAUAAAUGAGAAAUAAAACUGAAUUGCUUUGGAAUGAAAAAUAAAAUGACGGAUCAUCCAAAAAUGUUUGAUUAAUUAUUGGAAUAGAAUCGACAUAAAAAUUUAAAAUAUUUUAGAGAAGAUUUUGAUUAAAAGAGAGGAGGAAGAUGUUGGUGAAAAGGAACUUUAAAUAGUUUACUUUGGAAUAGAUUAAUCCGAGAUUCAAAAUCAAAUUGGGGCAUAAAUAAAUUUGGUCAUUUCUAUUCCAGAACGGAAUGGAACUGGAGUCCGAUUUCUAUAAAACAAAUGACAACUAUCAAAAUCAAUAAAUUUUAUUUUAAUUUUAUAGUCUAAAAUAGAUGAAUCAAAUAUGCCCUUAUUAGUGUUUACACAUCGAUGCCUAAUUUUUAUGUUGCUUUCCUGGACUUGGUAGUGCGCGGAACCUCACCCAAACCUACCUGUCGCUAGAGAUCAGUUUGCUGUCCCAACCGACCUCUCUACAGUUCUAUCCAUUAAAGCAUUAAUAUAAGAUAAAAUAAAUUAACCAAAAAAAAAAAACUUCUUUUUAAAAAAAAGGGAUGGUCAAAAAUGAAGUUAGGCCCAGUUUGGGCUAAAGACCAUGCCUCCCCACUUUGCACUAGACAAUUGAACCUAUUACCAUUUUCCUCUGUCUCAAGUUGGAGCGAAAACUUAGGGUCGUCUGAUUUGACGUAAUUAUAAAUACAGUAAUAAAUUAAAGCAAUUAAUAUACAGUAAUUAUAAUUAUAUAUAUCUUAUUUGAUUGAACAAAAGUUGCAUAUGGUAGAAGAGUGCAUUUACAAAUUUCUAUUGUUUUAUUUAUAAGAUGGUGAAAUUAUUAUCUAUGUAUAAAAAGAAAAAAAAAUAUUUAAAAAAUUAUUAAGACAAUAAGCUUAUUUUUAUUUAAAAAUUGCUCUCUUCAAAUGCUGUAAUUAGGAUUACAGCAAAUUUGGGCGUAGUUUCAAUUAUUGCAGUUGAGCAUUCUCGGUGUAGUUGCAAUUGCAAUAGUUGAGUUCAAAUCCAUCAAGACAAACAUUAGAUUCGGAUCUGCAUGUAAUUAUAAUAGCAAUACAGGUGUAAUUAUGUGCAAUCAAACAACCACUCAGUAGAGAUCUCACUGCUAUCAAAAAGAAAAAAAAAAUGCCCUCUCUUUAACUAGAUAUUAAAAAUAUUAGUGGGAUGAACCCCCUCUAAUCCCUCUAAGAGGAGCUCUUCAUUUUUUUUUUUUUUUUUUUUUUUUAAGUCUACAUCACGUGAGGGCACACUCAGGGUUAAACCUCCAUCUCAACUAUUGAUCGCUUACUUUUAUAUUUAAACAUAUGUGUGACGCCCCAAUUUUCUAGGAGGUCAUCUAUUCUAGGACUACUUCCGUCCUAACACGCUUAACUUUCUUAAUCUCUUGGGUCUUAUCACCAUCCAAAUAUUUAAGCCGGGUUAAGUGUUUAGCCCUACUAUAUUUCAUAUAUAGAACUACUCGGGGUCUCACAAUCUCUCCCUUUUAAACCCUGACGUCAUCGUCGGGCUCAGACUCACAAGUAUCAGGCGAUAUGAGACUCGUCUCGCUAGUCUAAACCUACCUUGUAGGGGAGCCGCACUCUAUCCACAACAGUCAACAGUAUGAGAGUUUUGCUCUUUCCGCUGUAUCAUUCUGGCUCAGUCGAGAUUCAUCUCACACUUUCGGUUGGUAACUGGCUCUGAUAUCAACUGUGACGCCCCAAUUUUCCAUAGGGUCGCCCAUCCUAAGACUACUAUCGUCCUAGCACGCUUAACUCUCUUAACCUUUUGGGCCUUACCACCACCCAAAAUACUUAAGCCAGGUUAAGAGUUUAGCCCUACUAUAUUUCAUAUAUAGGACUAUCUGGGGUCUCACAAUAUGAUUCAGAAUCGUUUCUAUCAUUCAUAUUGCAAUUUGGUUUUUUUUUGUUUUUUAUUUUUUAAUGGGCGAUAAAUGAUUAGAAUUUACCCUUCUAAUAUAUUUUGUUAGUAAGCUCUUAACUUUUGCGGAAACGAGUAUCCAAAUUUGAAGUGUUGUUGAGUAGGAUUUAUAUUAGAAGUGCAAAAUCUAAACUCAAUAAACCACUAAUACUUAUACCACUAUGUUGCAAUCUAAUCAGAUAGAAACGGAUCUAAGCAAAUUUAGUCCGCUCAAUCCGACCCGCUAAAAGUUUCACCCGAUCCAAUCCAGACAAAGUCAAGUGGGAAAACACCCGGAUUGUACCGGGUUGUCAAAAACCUAACCCCACCCAAACUUUAUCAGCCCUCUUUUUUUUUUUUUAUAUUUUUAAGAAUUUAACUAUGUAUCAUUAGGGAUGCAAACGGAUCCGGGUUGGUGGAGCUCCCAUCCCGAUCCNAUAUUACUUUAGUAUUUUAUGGUUUCGUUUUUUUCUUUCUGUUGUCUUCUCCGUUAAUUUUUUCACUAAAUCAACAAAUCAAAAAGUACUAAAAUAAAUAUUCGACAAGCCAUAUAUGGGUAUUUUAAGUUUUUUAUAUAUAAUUUAACGGGAAGUUAACAGAGGUACUGACAGAAAGAAAGUAAUAAAACCGCAGAGCAUAAAAAUGAUACAUUUUAAACUACAGAACACAAAGAUGGAAUUUUAAAAAAAAAAAAAAAAAUUUCCUACUGAACGCAUAUCAAAUCAGCUUCAAGUCGAACCCAGAUUUAAUAACCUUAGCCCCUGGUUUUAGCUCAACGUUUUGAACCCAAACAAGCAUAUACCUGUCACCUAAGACGGCAUGGACUGGAUUGAGUUCACACUUAUUAGGAUAUGUUUGUUUUACACGGAAUGUGAAGAGAGGCUGAUUCAUUUUUCAUUGUAAAUAUUUAUUUUUGUUGUUUAAUUUAUCAUAACUUCAUCUUCGAUAAAUUCAAAUUUUUUAAAAUAUCGUAAUUGACUUCGGCCUGUCGUAAACCGAAAUCAAUUAUGGUGAAAAAAUAGUGGUAGAGAAAUAUAAUAAAAUGUCAAUCCAUCUCUUUCAUUCAGGUUUUAUGUCAUUCAUUUUCUAUAAAAUAUAUAACAGAACCAGUUAUACUAGCAAACAACGAAAAAAAAAAAAAAAAUUUACUUAAACUUCAGUUCGCCCAAAAAUAUACUUCAAUCUGAACUUUAUCUUCAAUAAAAUAUACAGACUUAAAAGAUGACGGUUUCCAACAUAAAGACCUUCCCAUCUAUCGAUCACGUAACUAAAAAUUCCUGCUAUCGACAUAAUAAAUGUAACGCAAGUCUAAACAGCGUUGUGAGUGAAGAAGCACAAGACGAAAAGAAAGAGACAUACAAAGAACACAUUUCUUCAACAAAACAAAAAUAUUAUUAAUCAACUUUAAAAUUGGUUAUAGUAAUCAAACGGCGUAGUCGAUGCUAGAAUCCUACCAUGAUUAAAAAUAAUAAAUUUUAACAAUCAGAAAUAACCAAACAGCCAGACUCAAAGCAGAAAAAAAUACAAAAUUUUUUAAAAAUAAUCUAAAACUGUUAAAAAUAGAAGUCUAAAUAGUUGAAUUUGGAACCCAAACUCGGCCUGAACAAGUUGUGCAGCUCGACGCGUAGAUCUCAAAAAAUAUUUCUAAAUUAAAAUUACAUGCUGAAAAUGAACACCUAGACGAAAAUUUAACACGGUCAACCGAAUUUUUGUUUCAAUUUUAUUGAGUCAUAUUUUUUAGGGUAAACUUCAAAUACCACCUAUGUGGUUUCGCACUUUUCACUUUAGUAUCAUGUGGUUUAAAGUGUAUUAAGUUAGUGUCUCAUGCUUUUAUUUUUAUCUUUUUGUCAGUUUUUUCGUUAAUAUUUCGUUAAAUUAUAUACAAAAAAUUUCAGAUACUCUAUCUAGAUUUAUCGAAUAUUCACUUCAGUACCCUUUUAGUUCUAACUCUGUCGCUAAUUUAACGAAAAAAAUCAGUGGAAUCGAUAAUAAAAUGAUAAAAAUAAAACUAUAUAACACUAAAUUUAUACAGUUUAAACUACAGAAUACUAAAGUGAGAAAGUACGAAACUACAGAGGUGAUAGGUGAUAUUUGAAGUUUUUUUUUUAUCAUUUUAUUAUCGAUUCCAAUGAAUCCUAACGUAUCUGAGACGAAGGAAUCUCUUGUUGGGCCAAUCCCAGUCAAAGUUUUGUUCAAGCUAUGUGCCUAACUUUUGCCACUUGUGACCCUAUCAAUUUUCCCCUUUUUUUUAAGAUAUUUUCAAAAAAAUGCUCAAUAAUACAUGACAGGCACUGCAGCUGCUUGGCACCUGCCACCUACAGACCUUACCCAAAAGACAAAGAUAAGGUUAGGAUCCCAUCAAAUUUCCCAAAAAGCCCCUCCAAUUCCUCCAUAUUUAUACCCCCAAAUCCCCUCCAACAAAAUAAAAAAAACUCAUUCCCACAAUUAGCUUUUUUGUAUUCUCCACAAUUCUCUUCUCUUUUAAUUAUUAUUAAUAUUAUUAUCAGCAUGUUUUCUGUGGGAUUUAGCUAUGCACAAGUGCAUGUGCAACAAGAGCAAUGCAAGGAGAGGAUUAAAAAGAGAAUAAGAGAGGAGAAUAACAAAAAGAAGAAGGGGCUUAAUGAAAAAGCGUUUCCGAGCGGAACGGCGACGGCGGCGGUGGUGGCGACGGCGAAUCAGGUCACCCGCGAGGCCUCAUGAGUUUAUUAUUAUUAUUGUCGCUUAGUAUGUACAAAUAUCCAUGUAUAUAAGGGCUCAUAUUUUUUUUUUUUCUAGGUUUUUUUUUUUUUUUUUUGAGAGAGAGAGAGAGAGAGAGAGAGAGUAACAUGUUAGUGCAUGUUGGUUUUUGUGAUCUACUAUGUUUGUUUUGUUUUUUGUUUCCUGAUGCAGUUUCCUUUUUUUUUAAUCUAUUUUGGGGCUUAUUGGGAAUCUCAAAUUCCGUGAUUCGGUACGAAUUUUGAUGUUAUUAUGUUUUUGGGAUCUUUGUUUGUGAUCUAUCAAGGAGGAGAAUAGAAACUUGGAUGAUUUGGAUUAAUUAACAUUCACAGUGAAGCAAAACUCUUCCUAAUCCUAAUAAAUUAACAAUUAAUUCUUGAAAGUUAGACAGUUUUUUCCUUUAAUUUAGCAGAUUUAAUGAUUGCCUAGUUUGGCUUAUGAAAUUAUUUUUCAUUUUAAUUAUCAGAUUUUUUUUUAUGAACAAAAAGAAUUUAAGAUUAUCUUGAUCGAAUUAUAUUAAAAUGAGCACUUUUUUUUUUGCUCCAAAAGAAAUUGAAAUCUCCAGUUUGAAGCUUGGGCUUCAUGGAAAAGCAUUUAAAUGAGAUUUUUAUAAUUUUUUAACCAAAGUAAGGACACUUUUGGUAUAAUAAUUUAUUUACUUGCCUUAAAUAGGCAUAUUAGUAGACACGUAAACUUUGGUACUUUUUAUAUUGUUCACAUUUGGACAAAUAGUAAUAAUCAUUUUUAAUUCUCACUUAACAACCUAUUUUGAUGAUAUUUUCUAAUUUUUUAAAGAUAUUUUUCUAAUUUAUUUAAGAAGUCUUUUUAAACGAUCCUAAAUCAUCUACACUCCGAGCACAUAUCUCGUCUCACCUAGAUCGUUCAUCUCAAAGUUGAGAGACAAUUAUUUCUUAGUUGUAUUAAUAAACUCCAUGUCAUUUUCAGUCAAUUGUAUGUCGUCGACGAAUAGGAAGAGGAACAAAAUUUCUUUCUCUAUCUUCUUGAUAUAUACACAGUGAUCUUUCUCUAUUAUAGACAUACUGAUGGAGGUGAUGGUUUCAUGAAAUGUGAAAUAUCACUAUCUCGACGACUGUUUUAGACUAUAAAUAGAUCUUUUAAAGGUGAUAAAUCUUGUUUUCUUAAACUCUGAGUACAAAACCCUAAUGUUGAUCCAUAUAAAUCUCUUCUACUAAUCUUUCAUUGAGGAAAGCUGUUUUGACAUCUAUUUGGAAUAAUUUCAAAUUCAGAUGUGCUACUAAAAUUAGAAUCAAACGUAUAAAAAAAAAUCUCACAACGAGAGCAAACAUUUCGUUACAAUCUAUCGCUUAUCUCUGAGUGUAGCCUUUGGCCACGAGUCGAGCCUUAUAUUUAUCGAUUGACCCAUCCGCUUUACACUUACUUUUUAAAACUCAUUUAUUUUCAUUAGGCUUGCAUUUAGGUGGAAAGUCAACCAACUCCUAUACUUGGUUCUUCCUUAAUCCAUCUCAUUUCUCAUUCAUUUCAUCUCUCAUAGUAGUCAUCCAUUCACUGCAAACUGGCAUUUGUAGUGCUUCUUUAUAAAAAGCAAACUCAUCAUCAUCAAGCAGAUUGCGCAUGAAAAUCUCUCAUUCGAUCUCAACAUGCCGAUGGAGAAUAUGUCCACAUUCACUCUACACAAUUGAGGGCCUAAACUGCCAAUUUCCAAAAAUAUUCUCUCACUUAUGGAAGCACUCACACUAGCCGAAAGAUCACUACCACUUCCUCCAACAAUUUUAGAAAGUGAUCGAUCCCCCUCAAAAGUAGACACGUCUCUCCGUAUUUCACCAAUGCGUGAAAAUUUUUUUCUAAAAAUUUCACAUCACAAGAUUCUAUCCGGUCAUUCCACCAACUAGGUGUUUAUCAUACAUUACAUAGCUUUUUGAGUUUUUAAGAUACCUGACAAACACAAACUCGCUUACGUUAGGAUCGAGUUUCUCAAAUUUAUGUGAGAGGCUGUAAAUAUAUCUAGCUAAAUCUCAAGGCUCCGUUUUGUAACGGAAUAGCUAUGGAAUAAUCGAAUUUAUUUUCGUUAUUCUACCAAACAGAAAAAAAAUAACUAAAAUAAUUUAUAUCAAUUAAAGCAGAUUAUUCUAAAUUUUACUGAAAUAAUCCUUAAUUUAAUUCUCCCCCGCCCUCGGAAUAGGACUCAUUCUUGGAAAUUUCGGGGCAGGCAAUGAAAUUAUCAUUGCCUUCUUUUUGUGUCACCUCAAAAUCUCUUCUCCCUAAUAUGCCAAGUAUUAGAGACUUGGUCAAUUCAAUGUGCCUAUAUUAGAGUCUUUGUUUAACUAUACGAAAUUGUAGGCAAUUAAAUAAUUAGUUAUUAUUGUCUAUAUUAUUGCUUAUUAUAAAUUUCAUGAUUGUAAAAAUUAAUUUAAAAUCAUCUUACUAUAUAUUGCAUUGAUCUGCAGGAAAAAAAAUUAUUUCUUAAUCAUAAUGUUUAGUAUUGUAAUUAUUUUUGGAAAAAUAAUAUUAAAAUUUAUAAGUAUUGUAUUUGUACUAUACAAAGAAAAAGAUUCACUACAUACAUAAGGGCAAACUUUGCUGACUAUUCUUCUUUUAUUUCAAAAAAGUUACCAAACAUUAUUUUUGUCUAUUCCAGAAAAUAAAUAAAAAUUUUGCCAAGUAAAAAAUUACUUUCAUAUCUCUCUAUUCUAGAAUAUUGAAAUAUUUUAUGGAUAAAAAAAUUUAAUCCUGCAGCCAAUAUCCCAUUACCAAAUAUAGUCUUCUUGCAGCCAAUAUCUAAUUACCAAAUAUAGUCCAAGAGCGUAAAUAGCGUAAACUCAGCUUUCUACCGCUCCACAAUUCAUAUGGGAUAGAAAGUACUAAUUUAUUACGGACUCGAUUAAGAAUGUAAGCUGCAGUCAAAAGAGCAUCUCCCCAAAAUUUUAUGGGAAUAUGAGCCUGCACCAUCAUCGACCUAAUCAUGUCCAGUAAAAUACGGUUCCUUUGCUCUGCAAUACCAUUUUAUUGCAUAGUAUCAAGAAUAGUGAGCUGUCUACUGAUACCCAUGUGCUCAUAGUAAGUCUUGAAUUGAUCACACAAACACUCACGAUCUCAAUCAGUGUGAAGUGUCUUUACACUUCUUUCUAUUUAAUUCUCAACCUCCGCAAUGAAAUAUUUGAAGCAAUUUAAAACUUAAAAUCGGCAAGAAAGUAAAUACAUAUAGCCAUAACAGGAGUAGUUAUCAAUGAAUGUGUAAAAAUACACGCACUAUAUCGAACCCUUAUAUUCAUUGGCCCACAAAUGUCUGAGUGGAUUAACUCUAAAAGAUGUGAGGCACGUGUAGCCUUACCAAAAGACUUUCUACAUGCCUUCCCAACUAAAUAAAGCUUGCACACAAUUAGUUUUACUUUUCUGCGCCAGCUCUAUUAUUGUUAUGCUUUUUACGUUUAGGUGUGAUCCCACUACACCUCUCAGAGCAUAUAACAAGAACGACAGAAUGAUUCGCCUUUUAGCCGCUCUGCCUCGAGCUCGAAAUGACAUGAGAUGUCAUUAAAUAUUUUAAUACUCUCGAAGUGCAUCAUUAGAAGCUUCAUCUAGAACCAUUCAAGAUCCAGCAGUGAACGAUUCAUUGCAAGAACCUAUUGCUUAUUGUUGAGCUUGUUUCCAACAACCUUGAGGUCCCAAAUUAUGACGCUUAUCACACGAAGGUGCUCGACCAUUGAGUGCUUUGGAUCCGUAAUAUUAUCAAAACUUGAGAUUUAAGGUACGAAGCCUCGAGCUAAAGUUUGCUCAAAAGCAAUCUUCAGAUUAUCCCACAUGUCAUUCACAGCCUCUUAAGUCUCAAACUGUCUAAUAAGGUCGUCUUACAUGACACACAAAAUAGUAUACCGAGCAGUUCAAUCCUCCGUAAACCACUUAUUAUAAAUCUCUCUUUCAUACUAUGCAGUAGUGCCUUCCGAAGUUAUGAUCAUUUUGACAGAGAAGGUUUCAAAAAUCUCUUAUUCAUGUAGCAGUGUAUUGUAUUUUUCUGUAUCAAAUAUCAUAACUCUUUUCAUUUAACUUAUCACCUUUGAUGAGCUCAGCUAUAAUAUUUUUGACAGCUGUCUCACUACAUUUAAAAACAAAUUUGAAUAUUAGGCACAUUUUUCAAAAUUAACAAAAUUGAAAUAUUAUCCCCCAACACUACAUAAUCGAAAAUUUCGUUAGGCAGAUAAUCAUCCCCCAAGUGUCAAUUCAAAAUAUUACAAUUUUAUUAAUUUUUUUAUUAAUUUUAAAACUUAUCCAAAAAAUUAGAACUCAUCCAUUUAAAAAAAAAAAAAAAAACACCUUCUCUUUUUUUUUAAAAAAAAAAAGAAAUUUAUUGAGAACUUAUCUAUGCAAUAUCAUCACCCACAUAAACAAAAUGAGUAUUUGUGCCAAAAUUUAAUUUAGAAAACAUCGAGACUGAGCAAAACACAUUCUUUUACAGAAUAAAACCUACUAUAUCACUAUAAAGAUAUAUAUAUCUGAAGAAAAAAACAUUUACGGGAAUGCUGCAUAGGUCAAACAAGUGUUUUCAAAAUUACAUUUUGUUGAAAACAUCAAAAAAAUAUAAGUACUUUUGUGUCAAAAAAUACCACAUUCAAUUACAAUAUGCUACACAAACAUUAACUUUCGCACCCACAUAAAAUAUGUUGGCAUUCAGUUAAAUCGAAUCGGGUACGCCCAUAAGCGGGUUCGAUCCGACGGAUAUUAUGUUAUCUAAUUGGAUUAGGAUUAAUCUCGCUUUCAAAUUGGAAAGCUAAUUAGAGAUAAAUCUAAUCAUAUUAGGAUAACAAAUAAUAACCGAUUUGGCCUUAUCUCUAACGCUAUUAGGAUUUUGGAAUUUCUUAUAAAUAGACGGGCGAUCCCACAUGUAACGAUGCACAAAAAGGAACGGAAAAAGAGAGAGAAUAAGAAAAUAAUAACGAGAAACCACAUCCUCCUUUAACCUAUUAUUCUAGAGGGACUUGAACGGUGGAUUUGCGAUCGCGCUCGUUUGUAGUUCGAUCCACCGCGAGUUCGGAGAGUUAGAAGAUUUUCAAGGAAGAUUCAAGGACACGUAAAUCAAUCAAUCCGAUCCGGCUCGAAUCGCUUCCGCAAAAAGGUACGAACCGAAAACUUCCGCUGCGUUCUACAAAAUAAAUAAAACAAACAACUUAUGCAUGCUACACAAGCCACACAGAAACAUAAAAAAAUAAAAAUUAAAAUUAAAAAAUUAAAAAAAAUACAUUGUCGUGUAUCCCAUAAAAAAAAUAUUACCACAUGGGAAUAAAAAAAAAAAAACUAUUUAAUAAACAAACCAAAAAAAACGAUGCACAAGCCAAGCCGAGCGCGUACUGCAGCAGCUGGGCCGGGCGGGCCCAGUGCUUUCGGCUAUGGGGAGGGCCGGGCCGGGCCAACGCGCCCAAAGACGCAGGGCAGCCGGGCCGGGCCUGCUGGACAUGCUGGACCAUGAGCCGGGCCCACGAGUUCGCAGAGGGCCCCCGCGCUCCGGCUGCAGGCGGCCCGGGCCACAGCUCCCGAUGCUGGCCGAGCCCGCAAGUUGUGCAGCGGGCCGGACCGGCCCGCGCGCCUGAUGCUAGGCAGCCGGGCCAACGCUCCCGCUGCAGGCCUGGUUUGGGGCCCGUGGCGGGCCAGGUCAGUUCUCCAUCUGCGGGCCGCGCCUGGCCUUCCCCCAGCAGACCGGGCCGGGCCCGCUCGUAUGCAGCAGGCUGGACCGGGCCAGUGCUCCAGCUGAGGGCUGGGUCUGUCCCCCUCCGAAGCGGGCCGGACCGGGCUCUCUCGGCCCGCUCGCCCGCUACGGGCAGGCCGGGCCGUCAAGCCACCAGCGGGCCAGGCCGGGCCCGCAAGUCAGUAGGAGGCCGGGACAAAUCCCCGCAUCCGCUGCGGGGCGGGCCGCGCCGGCUCGCCAGUUUCUGGGCGGCCGGGUGGCGCCGCGAAGCGCACGGCGCUGGGCCUGGUCCUGUGCGGUAGUCCUUUCUUUUUUGAUGCACAAAGCAAUAAAUAUAAAAUAUAAUAUAUAUAUAUAUACAUAACGACUAAAUUUUUUAUAUCAUAAGCAAAAAAAAUAUAUAUAACAGAUGUAAUUUUUUUUUAUAAUGCAAGAAGUAGGGAAAAAAAAUUAAUAUAAAAAAAUGCAUGUCUCAUGAUCAACUCAAAGAAAACUAAAAUUAAUUUAGUUUUUCUUUUUUUAACUGUUUUCACAUAAAAACGAAUGAAAAAAUUAUAAAAUAAAUCAUAUAUAUAUAUAUAUAUAUAUAUAUAUAUAUAUAGAGAGAGAAGAGAGAGAAGAGAGAGAAGAGUUGGACUGGCUACUAUUAGUAGCAAAAUCCCAUGUUACUACUAGUUUUUUAACCUUUGGAUCAACUCUUUUCAUCAUUUCUAACCAUUGGAUUAAAUACUAUAACCAGUGGGAGACACUCAACCCUAGGGGGACCACUCAACUCUAACUGACUAAUAUCAUCCUAAUCCUACAAUUUUUCAUCCAAGGAUUAAAAAUUUGAUAGCAAAAAGAGAUUUUACUAUUAAUAGUAUUCCAGUCUAAUUCUAUAUAUAUAUAUAUAUAUAUAUAUAUAGAGUAGCUGGAAUGCUAUCGGUAGCAAACGGCUCCGUGCCACGCCAUUUGUUUUCAAUGAUGGAGCUUCAAAUCAACGAUCGGCACCGUCGAACAUGAUCUAUAUCACUUGAAGUAUUUAGAAAUUAAAUUUCAAAUCUUUUCGACAUCAUUUACCUAAUGAUCAAAGGGUUUCAAAAUUAGUAAUUUUAAUGGUUGAUAUGAGGGGUUUUCUCGUUUAACGGUGUAAAGCUAUCCAAAUCAAUUGAAUUUUGGUUAGAAAAUUCUUUAAACUAUUUAGAACAAGAUCUAUAUUCUCGAUCAUGAUUACAAAAUUUCUAUCAUCACUUUUUAGAGGAUAUUCAUUUUCAGCCAUUCAUUUUUACGCCACAUUGAUGACAAGAAAAUAAUAUUAGAAAAAUAUGAAAUUUGAUUUCUAGAUACUUCAAUGGUAUAGAUCCUGUUCAACGGUGCCGAUCGUCGAUUUGGAGGCUCCAUCAUCGAAAACAAAUGGUGGCAACGGAGCCCGUUUGUACCGAUAGUAUUCUAGCUCAACUCUAUAUAUAUAUAUAUAUAUAUAUAUAAUAUAUAUAUAUAUAUAUAUAUAUUAAUACUAUAUAUCAAUAAAGCAUGCCUACAAAACAAGCAUUAGAAGUAUGAUCAUAAGGCGAAAACAAACAAAAAAUAAAAAAAAAGUUCUAAACGGAAACUUACAAAUUUGAUAGCCAAUUUAUGCAUAAACCAAAAAUGAAUCUAUUUGCUUAUUUUACAAAUUUUCUUGAAUCGUCAUUAUCUUGAUGCUUUUGGAUUUUCCACGUAUCUCGUCUUUUUCUCUAGUUAUGUUUCAUCUGAUGUGAAAAGAGUUACCAGAAUCUUCUUUUUAUGUCCAUACUCAAAAAUUCUAGAAACAUAUGUAAAAAUUCCAGAAAGAAAUGACAAAAACUAGGCAGGAAUCUCUAUUAUUUGUAGAUAAUCGUAGAAACGAAAUUCGAAAGAAAUGAGCCGCAUUUAUAAAUUAUCGGGACCCUUAAAAUAUUAUGAAUCUCAUAUACAGAUUAAAAUUAGAAUAUAUAAUCCAUCCUCAAACUUAACUUAUUAGAGAAUAAAUCUCAAUCCAUGUUUAUGUGAAUCGAGUUAAAUUUGAACUGAUCAAUGUAGACACACCACAUGAUAAUAAUAUUUUUUAAACACUUGCACAAAUAGUAAUUAUCAUUUUUAAUUCUCACUUAGCUUAUUUUGAUGAUAUUUCCUAAUUUUUUUAAGACAUUAUUGGUGAACAUUCCAUUGAUAAAAGUAUAAUCCGAGUAAUAUUAAGUAAAGAUAAGACGAACGUAGGUUAGUUCCGAACAGAAAGAAAAAAUUAAAAUCAUCAGCGCAAUAAUUAUAGAGAAAAGUGUGAAGAAAAAGAAUAAAAUAUUAGAAAAGUUUACGUGCAAGUAUCGAAGCCCUCUUUGCGGUUCUAUAGAGUCGGAUUUUAAGUUUCUAUGUUUUGAUCUGACUCAGACUCAAAAUUUUCGAUUUGAUCUAGUUUGGAACAAUCACUUUUUAUUGAGCGUGGAUUUGAAAUAACUUAACAAUCUUUACCGACUGUCCCUAACGCAAGUGGCAAAAAAUUUGAUGAUUGAUACUCGAAGUUUCAAGUUCAAAUUCUACUUGAUUCAUAUUUCUAGUUAAAUUUAUUUUUAACAAAACAUAAAUAAAUGAAAUAACAUGUUUAUCUUUCUCUCAAAAAAAAAAUUUUUUUUUUUACAAUUUUUGCAUAAUGCAGAAAUAUUAGUUUCUUCCAUAUUAUGAAAAUUCAUUUUAUACUUCUAAACUAUAUUUCAAUCUUUUUGUAAGAAAUGACUCGAAAUUUAUCUGAAUUUGUGACUGAAUUACUGAUCUUCUUAGCAUUAUCAUAAAUUACGAAAAACACAAAUUUUUUACUAUUUUAAAGUUUUAUGUCUGGAAUUUUCUAUUUUUGCAAUAUAAAUUUUAAUUUUACUAUUAUGUAAUCUACAAAAUAUUGUACUUUGCUACACCAAAUAAAAACCAUAUAAAUGUAAUGGAACACAAUUUUUUUGGGAUAAUAUCCAAUGUGUUAUUCAAAACUUUGAAAGUAUCUUAUUUAUUCUUGGAGUAUCAAAAUAUUUUUGUUAAUUUUAAAAUAAUUUUCAAAUAUUUUCAUUAUCUUUAUGAAGGUUUACAAAUAUAUUUUGAAAUUUAGAAGGAUAUUUUGAUAAUAUUUCGAUAAAUUUAGAAAUUUUGAGCAGUUUAAAGGGUAAAUAAGCAAAAGGUUCUUUGUAAACGGUGAAUACUAAAUUGUAAAUAAGCUAAACCACAGGGUCCCUUUUGAAAAUGUUUUCUUCUUCUUCCUCGCACUCUUUGCGCUCGCUCUCACACCACACCAUAAUAAAACUCGAAACCCCCCAAAUCUCUCUCUCUCUCUCUCUUUGAGAUCUCGUCUCCUACUAAAGAGAGAGCGUAAACGAGAAGGGGAGGUGUGAGAUCGAGCCAAAGAUGGAUCCGGAUUCGGUUCGAUCCACGCUAUCGGGCCUCGCAUUGGGCAAUGUAAUGGCCGCGGCCGCGAGGGACUACCAAAAGGUGCGAUUUUUAUCCCCGAAUCCACUCCUCUUUAGCUCCCUUUUCCACGGAUUUGAAUCCUUUACUUUUAGUAAUUUUGAUGUGUAUUGGGUUUUUUUUUUUUUUUAACUGUGGUGAGAGACCCAUCAGAACCCAUGUUUUGGUUUCGGGAACAAACCCCAUUUUCGGAUUUGAUUGUUGUGGAAAUUGGUUAGGUUGUUGGAUUUUAGGGAGAUAGAUUUGGUGGGUUGUAGCUACUUGAUCUGAUCUCUUGAUGCUUGUUCAGAAAAUGGGGAAAUGGGGUUUCUUUUUUUUCCUCUUUGUCAUCUGUGAAAGAUCUAAUCUUUGUCCUUUUCAUGAGAAUGAUGAUUACGAUACUUUAAUGGUUGAUUAAUUUUGCUUUUGGAAUUUAAGAAGAGGAAGUAGUAGAAAUUUAUGUGUGAUGAUCUAUUGCCAUCUUAGACAAAACAGAGAGAGCUAGUAGAAGUUUCAAAUUGGAGCUUCUGCUUCUGCGACUCGAAAGCUCAUUUCAGGUUCUUUUCCUGGAAAAGGCUUCGGAAUGUUUGUUUGCUAAUGCCUACCUGCUGCUGUUCAGAGUGAGAAGCUGCUCCAAAACAGCUCAGCUAAACUGCGAGAAAGAUUGGUUAUUCGCAAUUUUCUGCAAACUAGUAGUUUCAUAUACAAAAUUGGACGAGUAGUAAAGGUUUGUUUGCACUUGUAAAUAAAUCAUCUUAUUGGAUUUACGAGCGCGAAAGAUGGGUUUAGGGACUUAUCCUUUUCUUUUUUCCCAAUCCCACGCCUCUCUCUUAUUGCGGUGCUUGUAGCUCGCAGCGAUGUUUUUUUAGCCGGAAACAUAUCUAAAAUUUGAGAUUGCACUAUUGGCUUCUGGAGUGAACAUAGAUAAUUAUUUCCGCAAUGUUAUUAUUUGUUUCUCCAGGAAAACUAGAGUGUGUUUUUUUUUUCCUUCUCUUUCUUUCUCUUGGUUGGGUAAUGAUUUUCUGGUUUGUAGUUAUUUAUGCUUGUUGUUGCUCUUUUGUGUCGCGCUUUGAUGUUGCUAAACUUCAUGACUAUCAUGUCAUACAACUCUUCUUUGCUUAUCCUUAAGUAACUACAUAAAUGCUAUUAGAUUCGAGGUAUCAUUACCAGGUUUCACCUAGGAUGAGAACUCUUUUACUCGUUGAAAUUAAAUCUUAUAAAAUAAAGCUAAUUGUGUAGGAAAUUCUAGCUAAAGAGAAGGCUCCAGCAACAUCUGCUACCAACCAGGAAGUCGAUCUUGAUGAAUUGUUGGAUGUAAGUUAAAAUACCAAACAAGCAUUGCUUUUCUUCUCGAAUUAUGUAGUUUACAUUGAAUUUAACCCAUUAUUAAUAUUAACAUUCUAUUUGCCAUGAAGGACCCAGAACUGGAGAAACUGCACGCAGAGAGGGUAGCCGCUCUCAAGGUAAAAACUGUGGUGUAAUAAUUUUCCUUUGUUCAGCAGAUAGACUUCAUGAAUAUGUCUGAACCAACAGAAAGAGGUCGAGAAGCGAGAAGUCCUAAAGAGGCAAGGGCAUGGAGAGUAUAGAGAAAUAUCCGAAGGUGACUUCCUCGGAGAGGUCACUGGUAGUGAAAAAGUCGUGUGCCAUUUCUACCACCGAGAAUUUUAUCGUUGCAAGUAAUUGAUCUCACUCCACUUUCUUUAAUGCGGUAAAUUGCACCAGGGCUCCCCAACCUUUCAAUUGUUGCAAAUAGUUGCAAUCUUGGCAUUUUCAUUAAUCUCUUUGUCAAAUUGGAUCUAGAUACUCAGCAGUCAACACAAUUGCUCUAUGAGAAGUCCAAAGUUGCUUUCGUUGUAGCUUAAAGUAGAUAUUUAUAUCCAAUUUGGCGGAGGAAUUUAACUGAAAGGCAAGACAGAUAGGGAUGCCAGUGUGAGGUUUGAAAGUUUGGAAAACCAAACUGCAGUUAUUUUAAAAGAUUAGCGACCGGUUGUGCAAUUUACACUAAUUUGCGAUUGAUUGAUUGUUCCACUAUUGAGGUAGUAUAUCGGUUUCUAUUUUAGGAUAAUGGAUAAGCAUCUGAAGGCUCUAGCACCACUGUACUUCAACACGAAGUUCAUCAAGAUCGACGCUGAAGUUAGUAUACAUUGACCUUUGGGCUUUUGCUGUUGCGUUUCAGAAGAUUGUAUCUAAUACCUUUGUGGUACUUGAUGCAGAAUGCGCCGUUUUUUGUGACGAAACUAGCCAUUAAGACAUUGCCUUGCAUCGUACUGUUCAGGUGAGAGGUGUUGAUUUGUUUUGUUCACGGCAAACUUAACAUCCAGAUUAACACAUUAAUAUUCCUAUAUAAGGAUAUUGUUAUAAUGCUAAUGUCUCGCGGCUUCAUGGCCGAGUUACAACUUCUCUAAAAGUGCUAUUUGAGUAUAAAAAUCUCUCCGAAAGAAUUCAUGCCGAGUGGAAGUGGUAGCUUCAAAUUGGAGCUUCUACUUUUCUGGUUCAAAAAGCUUACUUAAGCUUCGUUAGACGCCCAGCUUCAGCUUCACGGUGUAACGUAGUAGCGUACUAAUUACAGAAGAGAGGCUGCACAAACAUGUAGUAUCAUUUCAUUAGUCUUUUGGAUUCAUGAUGUUGGUCUUAUAUGAUUCUCGAAUAAGGCUCUCAGAUGAACUAAUUUCUUUGUCAAACUCCUUUGAAGAAUUUGAUGACACUUUUCCAGGAACGGCGUAGCUUUUGAUAGGCUGGUUGGAUUUCAGGAUCUCUGCAGCAGAGAUGAUUUCACCACAAGAGCUUUAGAGAACCUUCUUAAAAAGAAAGGUGUUUUUAUUUUUCAUUAAUUAUGAAUUUAGUCCCUGAAGUUUGACCCUUGUUGCAAUUGUGCCCACUUUCAAUUGCGUUCUCUUUCAACUGUAACAGCUUAGCCUCUGAAGUUUGGCCUUGAUUUUAAUCUUCAUUCUCAACCCGAAGUUCAAAGUUUGACCGCGGUUUCAAAUUCAUCCUCGAAUUUUGACCUCCAUUUUAACUCACCUCGAGAAUGUCAUUUGUAACAGAGAAAAGAAGCCUAAAGAACCGAUAAAAGAUUUACCUAUAAGCUAUCACAAACUUCGGGAUGAAAUUGUUGCAAUUCGAACUACUAGAAUGAAAAUACAAAUCCUGAUCAAACUUCAGGGAACAGUUUUUCUAAUCAGCCCCUUCCUUUUCUGCACUUCUGUUGCAUAUCAUGCACCAUACCCUUCUUUGAUAUUUUAGGUAUCAUUGACGAAAGAAAAGGAGACGGCGACGAGGAAGAUGAAAACGACGACACAGAUCAUCCCAGAAACAGGAGCAUUAGAUCCUCAGCUGUUCAGGAUUCUGAUUCAGAUUGAGCAGCAAUGCGAGCCGCUUCUUUCUCCCGCUACAAAACCUCGCCUCGUUGUAAUAUCUUUUCACUAAUUUGAAAAACUUAAUCGUGAUCGAAGUGCGGCUUUGGUUUAAGAAAAUUUGAACAAUCGAUGUAUUGAGUGCUGACAAGUUUGCAUGGAAUCAUGGCAAGAGUUGUAUGCUAGCAAUCUAUUUUAGCUGUAAAAUGCUUACAAGCUACUACUUUUGGUUUAAUAUUUUAGUCAGAUUGCACAUGAGAAUAACAGCAGCAGCAGCAGCAGUGGGAAAGAACUCAUUUCCUCGACAGUAAAUUGACGCUGCGCCGUCGGCUGAAACUUGAAACAUGAUUUUGUGGCUGCCACUCAGGGAUAGGGAUGGCAAUCCAACUCGCCGUUCGCGAAUCAGCUCGUGUUCGACUCGAAAUGAGUUCGAGAUCGAAUCGCUUGUUUAGUAAACGAGCCGAGCACGAGCUGAUUUUUUCGGCUCGUUUAAUAAACGAGCCGAACACGAGCUGGGGUCAGCUCGCUUGUGUUCGGCUCGAUAACAGCUGGAAUAUAUAUAUUUUAUAUUUAUAUAACUUAUUUAAUUUAUAUUUAUAUAUAUAAAUAAAUAAUUAUAUAUAUAAUAUAUAUUUUUAUUUUAUUUAGUUUUUAGCAAAAUAAAAAUAUAAAUGUGAGCUCAAUUAUAACAAGAUUUAUUUAUAUGUAAAAUUUCAACUAUUAGAUCAAAGCCUAAUGGAUAAGAUUUUGUAAAUUUAUUUUUUAUAUAUAUUCAAUCUAAUCCUUUUAACUUAUUGUUCGUUGGCCAGCUUGUGAGUCGGCUUGUAUUCAGCUCGUUAAUAAACAAGCCGACCACAAGCUGAAUUUUUUGGCUCGACACUUUAACGAGCCAGCUCGUGUUCGGCUCGUUUACACCCCUACUCAGGG